GGGAGGCUCCAGUCUCACUAACCCUAAUGGCUGCUGCCAUGCUCCCUGUGCACUUGUCCACUGUUUUAUUUGCUGACAUUCAGUGGACAGGGGGAGCUGCUUCGGGGAGGAAGGGGUUUGUCAGAGCAAUCCC
rnacentral:sRNA from 14 species